rnacentral:tRNA from 1 species
GCCCCCUUAGUAUAACGGACAGAAUACGAGCUUGCGGAGCUUGGGAUCUGGGUUCGAUUCCCAGAGGGGGCG